rnacentral:rRNA from 1 species
GACGAACGCUGGCGGCGUGCUUAACACAUGCAAGUCGAACGGAAAGGCCCUGCUUUUGUGGGUUGCUCGAGUGGCGAACGGGUGAGUAACACGUGAGUAACCUGCCCUUGACUUUGGGAUAACUUCAGGAAACUGGGGCUCAUACCGGAUAGGAGCUCCUGCUGCAUGGUGGGGGUUGGAAAGUUUCGGCGGUUGGGGAUGGACUCGCGGCUUAUCCGCUUGUUUGUGGGGUAGUGGCUUACCAAGGCUUUGACGGGUAGCCGGCCUGAGAGGGUGACCGGCCACAAUGGGACUGAGAUACGGCCCAGACUCCUACGGGAGGCAGCAGUGGGGAAUAUUGCACAAUGGGCGGAAGCCUGAUGCAGCAACGCCGCGUGCGGGAUGACGGCCUUCGGGUUGUAAACCGCUGUCGCCUGUGACGAAGCGUGAGUGACGGUAAUGGGUAAAGAAGCACCGGCUAACUACGUG